rnacentral:rRNA from 1 species
AGAUUGAACGCUGGCGGAAUGCUUUACACAUGCAAGUCGAGCGGCAGCGCGGGGGCAACCCUGGCGGCGAGCGGCGAACGGGUGAGUAAUACAUCGGAACAUGUCCAGUUGUGGGGGAUAGCCCGGCGAAAGCCGGAUUAAUACCGCAUGAGCUCGAGAGAGGAAGCGGGGGACGUAAGGCCUCGCGCGACUGGGUUGGCCGAUGUCCGAUUAGCUAGUUGGUGGGUAAACGCCUACCAAGGCGAUGAUCGGUAGCUGGUCUGAGAGGAUGAUCAGACCACGACUGGGACUGAGACGACGGCCCAGACUACCGUACGGGACGGCAG